rnacentral:rRNA from 1 species
UACGUAGGGUGCGAGCGUUUAAUCGGAAUUACUGGGCGUAAAGCGUGCGCAGGCGGUUCGUUGUGUCGGCGGUGAAAGCCCCGGGCUCAACCUGGGAAUGGCCGUUGAAACUGGCGAACUGGAGUGUGGCAGAGGGGGGGUAGAAUUCCACGUGUAGCAGUGAAAUGCGUAGAGAUGUGGAGGAACACCGAUGGCGAAGGCAGCCCCCUGGGUCAAGAUUGACGCUCAUGCACGAAAGCGUGGGGAGCAAACAGG